rnacentral:tRNA from 1 species
AGUCUUAUAGUUUUUAAAAAUAUUAAAUUGCAAAUUUAAAGAUGAUAAAAAUAAAAUAUCUAAGACUU